rnacentral:lncRNA from 1 species
ACACACAUGUAUAUAGUUAAUAGAGGCGAGCCGCCGCCGCCGCCGCAUCCCCCACGUCUGCCGUCACCACCGCCGCAUAACCCACGUCCGUCGUCGCCGCCGCCGCGUCCACCAUGUCCACCGCUGCUGCUGCCACAUACCCUGUCGUCGCCACCUAAGCCGCUGUCAGCCACCACCGCUGCCGCAUCCCCCGCCGUUUCCACUCGGGCCGCUAAGCCCAAGCCGACCGCCGCACGAGCCGCUCAACCCGCCGCCGCAGCUGUGUCCAUCGUCAACAACCCAAGCCUCCGUGUUUGC